UUGCUUUUGGUGUAGUUUGUCUCUGUCUGUCUGUCUGUCUGUCUGUCUGUCUGUCUGUCUGUCUGUCUGUCUGUCUGUCUGUCUGUCUGUCUGUCUGUCCAUCUGUCUGUUUGUCUGUGUGUAGUUUUCUUGUUUUGUUAAUAGAAACUUGAGAAGCAGCGCGUUCAAGAGAAACGUAAGGUAAAAAUGGAGGAAGCAAAGAAGCGGACAGUGAAAUCAAAGAAAGGGAGGCAAGAGAGACAACUUCGUGGAGAGAGAAAGUUGAACGUAAACGAUCAAUUGAUGCACAGAAAGCUCACGAAAGGGAAGGCUAUCGUAGACGUGAAGAAGAAGACAGAGCACAUUACACAGGCAGGUUGUGUAUGCAGAAGUGUGCAUCAAUACUGGCAAGUGUUGUGUGAUGCAUCUGUGAUGGAAACGUCAUGUGACAUCACGGAUUGAAAGUCAGAUGCACAAAUAGAAAUUGCAAGGGCAAACUCAUCUUGUAUUGGUCUACUGCAGUGUAAUAUAUUGCUGGCAUUUUAGAAAGCUUGCGUGGAGCAGUUAGAUGCUGAAACUGAGAGGGAGAAGCGGCAAGCACACGACAGACGAAGGUUUAAUCAGCAGGAAUGUGAGACAGUCGAUGCUGCAGUGAGGCACACAAAGGAAAGUGUUGCUGAGCGAGAAGCCGCAGACUCUCAGCAUGCAGUAGAAGAAGCAAGAUGUGCAGUGGAAGAGGCAAGGGCCAUGCGAGAUGCAGAGGCACAAGCAGAGCCUUGAACAUCCAGACCGUAACACGUUAGUGGGUGUGCAGUCAGCAAGUUAGAUGUGGUGUUGUCUUCGAAAGAGUCGUAUUCUCUAGAAUAACUUGAGGACCAAGACGUCAAUCAGGAAUUGUGCUACUGUGAGGUAGUGGUGUAGUGUCACUCUCAUGGCACAUCGAAAUCGCUGAGAAGACAAUGUGUAACAUACGUCAACACAGAAUUGGAACAGAAGCCGAGGCCGCUGCUGCAGACGAAGCCGUUCGACAGGCACAGGAAGCAGCCGAGCAAGCACUAGCUGAACAGAGAAAACUUGAGAAGCAGUGCGUUCAAGACGAACGUAAGGCAAGAGGAGGAAGCAAAGAAGCAAGACAGUGAAGUCGAAGAGAGGGAAGUCUGUGUUAUGGGUGAGAUUGUGGAGUUUUUGUGCAGUCAGUGAUUGCUUGGUUUGGCAGGCAAGAGAGAGACAACUUUGUGGAGAGAGGGAAGCUGAACGUGCACAAGCAAUUGAUGCACAGAAGUGAGCUCGUGAAAGGGAAGAAUAUUGUAGACGUGAAGAAGAAGACAGAGCACAUUGCAAAGAUCGCAUGGAGCAGUUGGAUGCUUGAAACUGAGAGCAAGAAGUGGCUAGCACACGAGGAAAGACGAAGGUUUAAGCAGCAGGGAAGUGCAUUGGAUAGUUUGCUCCAGUCAUCACUAUUCACGUGGCACUGGUCAUUGCUAUGAAUUGAUGUUCAUGCAUGUUGGUGUGGUUUGCAUGCAACAUGCUGCAAAGUAAGUUAAAUGUAUUGCAAAUGUAUUAUGGGAGACAUCAAGUGUCAGUUCUCAAAUGAAUGUAAGGUAGAUGAGUCUGUCUUAAAUACAAAGCAAGUGAAGAUGAUGAGAGAGGACAGGAGCAGUAGGUUGUGAGUCUAGUCCAUCAUGGAGUCGUGCAGUGGAUCAAGAGAAGCAAGCAGUCAGCAGCCCAGCCGUCAGUUUGAAUAGUGGCAGAGUUUGCAAACGAGCAGACAGACUAGAUGUGUAAGUUAGAGGAGAGAUGGAGUGAUAGUGAGGCGUCUAGAUGAGGUGAGAGUAUGAGAGUGUCCAGUUGUAGGAGGUACACUGUAGUGUUGAAUUGAGUUUUGUUGAAUACAUUACUGUACUCACAAGUGCACGUGUCAUCUAGUU